rnacentral:rRNA from 1 species
GAUGAACGCUAGCGGCAGGCCUAACACAUGCAAGUCGAGGGGCAGCACGUCUUCGGAUGGUGGCGACCGGCGCACGGGUGCGUAACGCGUAUGCAACCUACCUCUUACAGUGGGAUAGCCCAGAGAAAUUUGGAUUAAUACCGCAUAGUAUACAGAUUCAGCAUUGGGACUGUAUUAAACAUUUAUGGGUAAGAGAUGGGCAUGCGUUCUAUUAGUUAGUUGGAGUGGUAACGGCACCCCAAGACAGCGAUAGAUAGGGGCCCUGAGAGGGGGAUCCCCCACACUGGUACUGAGACACGGCCCAGACUCCUACGGGAGGCAGCAGUGGGGAAUUUUGGACAAUGGGCGUAAGCCUGAUCCAGCCAUGCCGCGUGAGUGAAGAAGGCCUGGUUGUAAGACUCUUCGUC